CAUUCGUCAUUCAGUAUGGAGGAAAAGCUCAUCAGUGCCGUGGCUAAUCAUCCAGAGCUAAAUGAUGCUGGUUGCUACUUCUACCAAGACAGGAAUAAAAAGGACCUAGCUUGGAGGCACAUUAGUGAGGAGAUUGGGCAACCUGAGGACAUCUGCAGCACAACACAUCUGGCACAACUUCCUCCCACAUUUCCGGUCCACCUGCGUGGAAAGAUGCAAUUUUGAGGUGCGAUGGAUUUGUCUUGGACACGCGUUGAGGCACAUUUCACGAAGCAGAACGCAGUCUUCAGAGAUCUCUACGUGAACACUGUGAUACGUCUGACCUUCAGUCUGAAGCAGAAACCCAGACCAGUCUUAAAAGAAAGCACAAGUUUUAUUCAAAAACAUAUCUUUGAUUGUUAAGAAUUAAUGAUCUUGUCUUUUAUA